CAGUAGCCGCGGUAAUACGUAGGGUGCGAGCGUUAAUCGGAAUUACUGAGCGUAAAGCGUGCGCAGGCGGUUUUGUAAGACAGGCGUGAAAUCCCCGGGCUCAACCUGGGAAUGGCGCUUGUGACUGCAAAGCUAGAGUGCGGCAGAGGGGGAUGGAAUUCCGCGUGUAGCAGUGAAAUGCGUAGACAUGCGGAGGAACACCGAUGGCGAAGGCAAUCCCCUGGGCCUGCACUGACGCUCAUGCACGAAAGCGUGGGGAGCAAACAGGAUUAGAUACCCCUGUAGUCCCUGUCUCUUAUAC
rnacentral:rRNA from 1 species